ensembl:lncRNA
CUUUAACCGUUUCUCCUUCCUCCAAACCCGGUGCAGGCGGCAGCUCCCUGAUGAAGGGACAAAUGGGAUUGCUUAGCUUUGUGUUGAUUCCCACCUGCUUGGCUGAUUUUCCUCUGUCAAACUUGCUGGAUGCUCCGCAGGACUCAGGGUCUCAGCUUCCAUGUUUUUGAUCAAACUGAGAGCUUUAAACAACAUGAUACGCCUGCCUGCUGCACCCAAGAAGGAUCUGUUCUUUGGCUUCCUUGGCUGCCUGUCAAGAGGCCAACUGGUAGAGCAUGGAUGGGUCAAGCAGCAAAAGCAGCCCUGGAACAACCACUUUGGUUUGCCUUGUAUUCCCAGUUGAUGCUUUGGUUGGAGAUGAGGAGCUCCCUUUCCAGGACCAGAUUCACUCCUUCUCAGGAGAGGUGGAAGUCAGCUGAGGUUUCUUCUUGUCACAGUCUGAUUAAAACAAACUUGGAGGAGAAUUCUUCUCAGCAACCGCCUGGAAUGUGUGGAGGAGGAGGCUGGAUUUCAGUUUCCAGGUUUCUGUAAUCCACUGGGGCCUGUGUAAAUCUCAGGAUUUCCUCUGCAGACUCGGCUCAUGUUCCACAGCUGUGCUUGAGCACAUGUGUGAGGAAAUUAGAAAUGAAAUCAGCUGAUCCAGUGCGGAUUAGGGCAAGGAGAGCCAUCCGAGCCUGGCAGGUCGGUGCCACCCCCAGGAACGUGCC